rfam:Peptoclostridium acidaminophilum DSM 3953 plasmid EAL2_808p, complete sequence.
AGAAUUCUGAAACACGGAGUAAAGCUUGUCGUGAGAAGUCAGCAGAAGCCAUAGUACUGAAAGUUUUUUUUCAGGAAGGGU